GACGAACCGUGCAAACGUUGUUCGGAUUCACUGGGCUUAAAGGGCGCGUAGGCGGGUGGUCAAGUCAGGGGUGAAAUCUUUCAGCUCAACUGGAAAAUAGCUUCUGAUACUGGCCGUCUUGAGGGAGGUAGGGGCAUGUGGAACUUCCGGUGGAGCGGUGAAAUGCGUAGAUAUCGGAAGGAACGCCGGUGGCGAAAGCGACGUGCUGGACCUUUUCUGACGCUGAGGCGCGAAAGCCAGGGGAGCAAACGGG
rnacentral:rRNA from 1 species